rnacentral:tRNA from 1 species
UGGUGUAAGGCAAACAUCGCUGCCCGGAAAGCAGAAGAUGCGGGUUCGAGUCCCGC